AUUAUCCUACAAUAAGUUACUGUUAUUAUGAUGUAAACAUUUCUGAUUAACUUCUGGAUGUUUCUGCUUUAUUGUGACAGGGUGAUUCUGGGCUGGCAGGCGAUCAGGGAUUUCCUGGACCUCUGGGACCAAAGGGAAUUCAAGGAGACUCCGGACUUCCUGGUUUAUCUGGACCCAGAGGCGUCGGUGUGAGUAGAAGUUACAGUAAAAUAAAUAGCACAAAUAUAAAGCCAAAGAAAUGAAUGCUUUUGUCUCAGACAAACCUAUGUUUUCUAAAAGAGUCUUUGGAUGUGACUGUAUGUCUGUGUUGUAAUAUGUUAGGGUGAAAAAGGUUUGAAAGGAGAUAAAGGAUCUGCAGGAUUACGGGUAAGUGUUAUUACAUGUCCUAUAUUUGAUUCAAAUGAUCGUCAAGUUUCAUAGGUCAUCACAAGCAUGACUGGUUAAGAAAUCAAAUAUAACUGCAUGAACAGAGUUGAGAAUAGAAAGCUCCAGCAGGUUUGGUUAACUUUAAAAAUAGCAGACACACCUAGCUGGAAUGUGCAAAUGUGAGUAUACCAAUUCCAUGCGGGUAUACCAAUUCCCUGCAGGUAUACCAAUUUAAAUAAAGGUAAUUAAAUGUUUAACAAUUGACAGAAUUUUUUUAAAUUUAAGGGUUAAGUCCAUCAUUUCUGAGAAGGAAUAUAGACCUCCAUCUCAGAAGGGAGUAAUGGUGCAGACAGAUGUGAACUGGCUUCCCUGAUGCACUCUCCACACUUCCUGUCCUGGGCUUGAGGGGGCGGAUCCUAAUACACUCAUUCAAGGAUAGCGGCCCACAGUACUGUGUGUCAAUGCCUCCUUUAAGGGUCCCUGAAAUAUAGACUUUCACUGCUGCGGAUGGUCAUUGACUAGGAUGUAACACACUGGUCAAUCCCUCAGAGUGAUUGUGGCCUGUGAUUAUAAUGAUUAUACUGACGUAGCACCCAAAAUGCAGCAGUCUAUAUGAUUCCUGGCCUACUGGGCUUCACACAGUAUGUCAAGUGGGUCGUUGAGGUCUAUGAUUGUUAUUAGGCUUUUGAGACACAGACUGUCCUCGGCGUUGGGUGAUGUUGUGAGAUGAUAGGAUUUAGACGUUGGGUGAUGUUGUGAGAUGAUAGGAUUUAGACGUUGGGUGAUGUUGUGAGAUGAUAGGAUUUAGACGUUGGGUGAUGUUGUGAGAUGAUAUGUGCGCUGAUAGGAUUUGACGUUGGGUGAUGUUGUGAGAUGAUAUGAUUUAGACGUUGGGUGUGAUGUGAGAUGAUAGGAUUUAGACGUUGGGUGAUGAUGUGAGA
rnacentral:lncRNA from 1 species